UGAGGAAUAUUGGUCAAUGGGCGAGAGCCUGAACCAGCCAAGUAGCGUGAAGGAUGACUGCCCUAUGGGUUGUAAACUUCUUUUAUAAAGGAAUAAAGUCGGGUAUGCAUACCCGUUUGCAUGUACUUUAUGAAUAAGGAUCGGCUAACUCCGUGCCAGCAGCCGCGGUAAUACGGAGGAUCCGAGCGUUAUCCGGAUUUAUUGGGUUUAAAGGGAGCGUAGAUGGAUGUUUAAGUCAGUUGUGAAAGUUUGCGGCUCAACCGUAAAAUUGCAGUUGAUACUGGAUAUCUUGAGUGCAGUUGAGGCAGGCGGAAUUCGUGGUGUAGCGGUGAAAUGCUUAGAUAUCACGAAGAACUCCGAUUGCGAAGGCAGCCUGCUAAGCUGCAACUGACAUUGAGGCUCGAAAGUGUGGGUAUCAAACAGGAUUAGAUACCCUGGUAGUCCACACGGUAAACGAUGAAUACUCGCUGUUUGCGAUAUACGGCAAGCGGCCAAGCGAAAGCGUUAAGUAUUCCACCUGGGGAGUACGCCGGCAACGGUGAAACUCAAAGGAAUUGACGGGGGCCCGCACAAGCGGAGGAACAUGUGGUUUAAUUCGAUGAUACGCGAGGAACCUUACCCGGGCUUAAAUUGCAGAUGAAUUACGGUGAAAGCCGUAAGCCGCAAGGCAUCUGUGAAGGUGCUGCAUGGUUGUCGUCAGCUCGUGCCGUGAGGUGUCGGCUUAAGUGCCAUAACGAGCGCAACCCUUGUUGUCAGUUACUAACAGGUCAUGCUGAGGACUCUGACAAGACUGCCAUCGUAAGAUGUGAGGAAGGUGGGGAUGACGUCAAAUCAGCACGGCCCUUACGUCCGGGGCUACACACGUGUUACAAUGGGGGGUACAGAGGGCCGCUACCACGCGAGUGGAUGCCAAUCCCCAAAACCUCUCUCAGUUCGGACUGGAGUCUGCAACCCGACUCCACGAAGCUGGAUUCGCUAGUAAUCGCGCAUCAGCCACGGCGCGGUGAAUACGUUCCC
rnacentral:rRNA from 1 species